CAUUGCAAUGAUGGUUAUCUUUCGGGUCUGAAUUUUGUUGUGGAUAGUUCCCAAUGAUCUGAGCAAUG
rnacentral:snoRNA from 1 species